UCCACAGCUUUCCAAGUGGGCCGGGAUGCUGGUGAUGGAUGCUUUUCUCUUCUUAGUGUGGGUACGAUCCAUGUGCUUUGUUUGUUCCAACUGCGGUUCUGCGACUAGCAACCAUUCCGCUGCGUUGCCUGCAUUGGCGCGCAGAAAAGAAGACUUGGCGGUACUAUAGAUGGCGAGACCAAACGAUGCAGCUCCUCUAGGCUCUAAAUUGCUGUAGACGUCGGGCAGAGCUUUGUGCAAACCUCUUUGAGAUAGCAUGAAAGCCAGAUCUGCUUUGCCGACGAUGGUUGACUCGGCGAGACCUGACUAUUUCCGACGAGGAUCGGUGGGACGAGGUUUUGAUCAGGAAGACUUUCAAAGUGCAGUUAGCUGAGAGGGUACAUGCCAUUCUGCUACUUCAGAGAGCAUUAGAUAGACAGGUUUGGGUGGCGUGCUGAAUCUUGCUUGCUGAAUUAUCCAUGGGGUACCAUUCCUUACCAUUUUGUCAUCAGUAGUUGCAACUAUGAUGAUUUAUUGACCCUUUAACCGUUCUGAUGCCAUCUAGUAAUCUAGGCACAUUUUUGAAGCUUGAAAUUAGUUUGUUUUCUGCCUUUGGUAUAAGCCCUACUCGGGUUUUUAAGUUUUCUAGCCUUAGAUGCAGCAUGAUAGUCAUAGCUGCUGUGCGUUUCUUGUGCUGCAAAAUAAUUUGAAGCUAUCUUGGUGCUUAAAAUUUUGUUGCAUUGAUCCAGAUUAAAUAAAAAAUUCCCGUAUCUCAUGCUCUAUUUUCUUUUUUUAAAAAAAGAGCGUACUUGGUGCCCAGGAAGGAAAGCUUGACACGUAACCUUGUUCGUCCUGUUUCCAUCAAGAGGAUGCCCAUGAAUUCCCUUGUGGUCUGCUAGAUAGCUUGCAUGGCUGCUGUCUUGACCCCAGCUUGAAGGACCAGGGCCAGCCACCUUGGCACCUUCAUUAUAGAAAAGGCAUCCUUGUCGAGCAGGUUUUUGGAGGCCGUCGUCCCAGAAGCCAGCUGCGAUGCUGUGACUGUGGUCGCUGUCCGGAAGCCAUGUUCAACAUCUGGAGGCUGCACAAGGAUCAGGUGUCGAUGGAGAAGCAACAAGCUCCACAAGUUGUUGCGCUUCAAGUGACCUCAAGUCAAGACCAAGAUAACGGAUAGGUUUGUGGGGUAUCCGUUGGAGCUAGACUUGAAGCCUUUUCUUAGCUGCCAGGCGGAUGGAGUAGGCAUUCCUUCUGCUCCCAACUUGUGCCUGGACAUUAUCAUUAUUAAGCUACCGCUCGUUCAUCUCCAACAGCAUGGUAUCUAACGGAUGAUUCUAGAGCAAGUGUGCUUCCACCAUUUUAUUUAUUUCUUAUGAUAGGUGCGCUUAUGAUUCUAAUGAUUCCAUGUCCACUGCAGGUCGCCAGAGUUUCUGAAGCAUGUAUUUUAAGGAAGCAGCCUUCAUCCUUUUCGAUACAAAAGCAGGGAUCCUCAUCCUGGCUUUCAACUUUAAUGGAGGCACACAACAUAAAUAACAUUAAAUGACUAAACAACUGCAACUUUUCAGGCAUGGUUGCUGGAAAGAAAUUUGCCGAGUUCAGAAAUACAAGUCCCAAACUUCUUAGAGCUUUAACAAAUAUGUUGUCCAAAUGCCACAAACACUCUCCUAAGGGUUCUACAGCCCCAAACGUUUCCACUAUUACAAAAGUAGGUCAUGCACAGCACCAGGAAA